UACGGGGGGGGCAAGCGUUGUUCGGAAUUACUGGGCGUAAAGGGUUUGUAGGUGGCCCGCUAAGUCACACGUGAAAUCCCUCAGCUUAACUGGGGGAACUGCGUGUGAGACUGGCAGGCUCGAGGGCAGGAGAGGAACGCGGAAUUCCAGGUGUAGCGGUGAAAUGCGUAGAUAUCUGGAGGAACACCGGUGGCGAAGGCGGCGUUCUGGACUGUCUCUGACACUGAAGAACGAAAGCCAGGGGAGCAAACGG
rnacentral:rRNA from 1 species